GUCUGUUUUAAGAGAUGGGCCAUAAAUUCCAAAAUGCUAGCUGAAGAAGCACUUUAAACCAACAUGCAGGCUGUAGCUGCUUCCACCUGAGACGCUGACCUGGCCUCUAUCCCAUCAGCCAUGUGAAUUUGGGACAUUAAAAACAGCAUGUAAGUUUAGAACCCGCCCAUAAGAACUUGAUGCACAGCCUUGAGGAAGAUCAUUUAUCAUUAAAAUUCACAGUUUUUUGUUUUUGUUUUAUAUUCUUAAUAGUCGGUUAAAGGUAUCACCUGCUUCUGUAGUUCUUCUGAAAAAGUGGACUUGUCCACAAAAGCCUAUUUAAAAAUAUAACAGUGUUUAAAGUGUCAAAAUGUUUUUAUCCUUAUUUUUUCAUUUUUGCUUUCCUUUUGCCUGACAUAGUCAGAAGUGGUUUACCAUUUCCUUGUUCUGAGGGCAUCCUGGGACUGUGCAGCUUGCCCAAGGCCACACAGGCUGGCUCUACUCACAGGAGGUACAGUGAGGAAUCAAACUGCCAGCCUCUGGCUCAGCAUCCAGAUACCUAAACCACUGAGCUAUCCAGCUAGUCUUUGUCCUUAAAGAUGCCUAAUAUUUUUAUUGGUUUAUGUACUGUUUUUCUUUCUUACAUUUUAACCUCAUCUUUCCAUUAAAAAGAAAAAGAAUAAGAGAUAGAUAGAUUUUUUUUAAAAAAAGAACAACACUUAAGGCAGCUAAGACCUCACUAAAAGCCAUUUAAAGCUACUAUCAAAAUUAUGAGAGCAAUCAAUAAACACUGAAACAUUUUUAAAAGCCAGGUUGAUGAGAUAUGUUUUUGUUCCAGGACAGUUUUAGUUGCAUUUUUUUAGACAAUAGAGCUCAGAAAUUUUUGCCAAUCCCACAAUCUACGAGUAAAUACCAAUUCAGAUGUAGAUACCAGGUGGCGCUGUGGGCUAAACCGCAGAAGCCUGUGCUGCAGGGUCAGAAGACCAAGCAGUCGUAAGAUCGAAUCCAUGUGACAGAGUGAGCGCCCGUCGCUUGUCCCAGCUCCCGCCAACCUAGCGGUUCGAAAGCAUGCAAAUGCAAAUAGAUAAAUAGGGACCACCUUGGUGGGAAGGUAACAGCGUUCCGUGUCUAAGUCACACUGGCCACGUGACCAU
rnacentral:lncRNA from 1 species